GUCCGACUGCGCGGCUUCCUCUCGCUGCGUCGGCUUCCUGACCCUGGUCCAAAGCGGUGCCUCGCGAAAGCUACACAGCCUGCGAGGUCCCCAGUUACCUUCCGCAACCCAGGUUCCGGCCAACGAGACAAUAACGUUGCCAUGGGGACGGAACGCUACGGGUCGGCUAGGAGCGCCUGUGGCCAUGGCCACGCGGGGCACUUCCGGUUCGGAGAGUCCCUGUGGGCUCCCGCCUACAGCAGCUCUUACCUUACCCUCCGCUUUGCCGUUCCCGCAGGCUAGAAGCGCACGGCCUCCGGCUCGCCCCAAAACUGGCCUCUGCAUAUUGUAUCUCAGGAGACCUUACCCCUCGGAGGUGAAGGCGUAGGAAGAGAAGAUACAUUCCGUCCAAGGAUGGAAGGGACCGCCGGGCCCCACGACCCUACCUAUUUAAAGCUGCGACGUGUGCGGGCUGUAUUCGACGACGAUCCCUGGCCACGGUGCACCCCCGCAGCUCCUCAGGAAUUUUGUUUUUAUGGACCCCAGAGGAAAGGCUUAGAUAUGGCUGUUGACUGUGCUGGCACCGUCUGUGUUACCCAGUUAAUAUUGGAGCUAGGCAUGGUUAGGAAAGAUGUUGCAGGAAGUGAGUAGGCCAUUUAAUGCAAAGAUGAAAACUUUAAUCUUAACUUGGAAGAAUGCAAAAUGACCUUUCUUCAUAGAAAUCCUUGCUUCUCAUCAUAAGUCUGAUGCCUAAAUCACAGCUUUCUGAGUUUCCUUGACAUGAAGUCUGUGGCGUCGAAGUUAUUGAUCUUGGGGAGGAGACAUCACUCAACUAAAAAAGAAACAAAAUGAAAAUCAUCAAUAAAGAAUGUAUCUUCAAAUUCCUCUUCUCCAGUGCCGAAGAAUCAACCUGUUUAACCAAUGCAAUGAAAUCUAACGUCUCCUCACAGACUUAGCCAGCAAUGAUGUCUGCAGAUGUCUGGGGAAAAUUGCUUUAAAGUCAACAUAGAUUCUUGAUUAUCAGAAACAGUAGAACUUUAAAAAGUUAUUUCUAAACAGAACUAUAUCAGAAUCGUCUGAAUCAUCAGAAUCAUCUGUCUCAGAAAAAUCGGAUUCAUCAAAUGAAUCUUCAGCCAGGAAUUCUUUGAGAACGAUGUCUAACAUCACACAUAGGAAUGCUACGUCUUCUAGGAUUUGACAUUUUCAGCGAUCGAGAAUUACUAUAUUUUGUAAAUGGAAAUACCACUACUAAAAACAGAAUGCUAUAAAUAGAAUGAUGUCUUUUGUUUCCAAAGUCAAUAUACUAGAGUGAUGCGAAAAUAGUAAUAAUAAAAAUGAGAUAUUUCGUGGCAAAGUUAUCUUGAGGUAAAUGCUGUAUCCCCAAACGCCACUGGUGAGUAUUCUUGGAGCAAAUGGGAAAAGGGUUAAGAAUAAUACAUAAAUCCAUUUUGCAGAAGAGAAUCUAGGUUGAAAAGCAAUAGAAUUUGCCCAAUACUUAGUUGUCUAAAACAGGAGUACCCAACCCAGGGGCUGCAGAUCAGUACCAGUCUGUGGCCUGUUAGGAUCCGGCUGCACAGCGGGGAGUAAGUGGCAGGCGAGUGGGCAUUACUGCCUAUAAGAUCAGCGGCAGUAUUGGAUUCUCAUAGAAGCACAAACCCUAUUGUGAACUGAGCACGCGAGGGAUCUAGGUUGUGCACUCCAAUGCCUGAUGACCUGAGCUGCAGCAGUUUCAUCCUGAAACCAUCCCCACCCCUCCAUGGAAAAAUUAUCUUCCCCAAAAUCAGCCCCU